rnacentral:rRNA from 1 species
GCUCAGAGUAUAAGCCAAUGGAGCUUGGAAGGCUUCCGCAGAUGGUGUUCAUCAUACGUGGUGUUCUUAAGACCUUGAGUGUGGCUCGUCAGGCGAAGCAUUUGAGUAUGCCGACCAGCUGUCGUGCGGGGGUUCGGCUUGGAGGUCUUAGGCUUCGGCCGAAGGGCUUCCGGCUGUCCCUUUUGAAUGGACGUUCAGAGCUCUUGUGUCUAAUGCGGUUAUGCCCACCACAGCACGUUGUGAGGUCACCCACAGGCUCAAACUGCCGAUCGCGUAUCCAGGACGAUGGCAACGAUGCGUUGUUGAGGAUGGCUCGAGAGAGUCUUCACUCACACGCGUGUCUAGUCCUGGGUCGGGCGGCGACCGAGAUAAACCUGGUACGAUCCUCUUGCGACGAGCUGCUUUCUGGCCAGACCGACGCCCAGGCGCUUCCACUGUGCCGGAAGCGUCAAUCCCAGGCGGUGUGAACCCAGCUGCAUUAUGCAAGGUCUCUCAGCCGGGCGUUGGUCUGAGUGGUGUUAAGUCCAGCACCAUCGGUCACGUCUCGAAACACGGGCCAAGGAGUAUAGCAUGUGUGCAAGUCUAAGGGUCUCACAAAACCCGAAGGCGAAGUGAAAGCAAGACUGUGGCGGGGGAGCUACGGCAAACCCGCCGGCCUAGUGGCGCGUGCGUCGCCUGGCUUUUAGCAGAGCUGAUCCUGUUUUCUCGGUUAAUUCUUGGUGCAGGCGCAAGCUCCGGGCUCACGUACAACACUGGUCACGCCUCGUG